AACGGGAAAUAUUUCAUUGAGACUUCGGUGGAUUUGAUCUAUUUCUAGUGGCGGACGGGUGAGUAACGCGUGGGUAACCUGCCUUAUACAGGGGGAUAACAGCCAGAAAUGGCUGCUAAUACCGCAUAAGCGCACAGAGCUGCAUGGCUCAGUGUGAAAAACUCCGGUGGUAUAAGAUGGACCCGCGUUGGAUUAGCUUGUUGGUGGGGUAACGGCCCACCAAGGCGACGAUCCAUAGCCGGCCUGAGAGGGUGAACGGCCACAUUGGGACUGAGACACGGCCCAGACUCCUACGGGAGGCAGCAGUGGGGAAUAUUGCACAAUGGGGGAAACCCUGAUGCAGCGACGCCGCGUGAAGGAAGAAGUAUCUCGGUAUGUAAACUUCUAUCAGCAGGGAAGAUAGUGACGGUACCUGACUAAGAAGCCCCGGCUAACUACGUGCCAGCAGCCGCGGUAAUACGUAGGGGGCAAGCGUUAUCCGGAUUUACUGGGUGUAAAGGGGGCGUAGACGGUGUGGCAAGUCUGAUGUGAAAGGCAUGGGCUCAACCUGUGGACUGUAUUGGAAACUGUCAUACUUGAGUGCCGGAGGGGUAAGCGGAAUUCCUAGUGUAGCGGUGAAAUGCGUAGAUAUUAGGAGGAACACCAGUGGCGAAGGCGGC
rnacentral:rRNA from 1 species